AUGGUAGCGCUUGCGCGAGCAAUCAGCUGAACAAGAAUUGCAGUGGUACUCAACAGCUGGCUCCUCAGGCCUCACUAACUCUUCUGCAAGUGAAGACUCAGGAAAUGCCAGAGCUGGAGUCGAGAGAUUAGGCUUCUGAAUAACAGGUGGACAAGGUUGAAUGAUUUCAAAGCAAAAUAACUUCUCAAGCAAUGAAUCCUCCUUUGCUUCUCUAUCAUCAUCAGCAUUUGCAGCAGUGCGGGAAUGGGUGGAAAUUAAUCAAGCCCCAAUAGUCCAAGAACUCAAGCACCUCUUGCUUUGCAUCUAGGUCUGCAACUUCAAGCUCAGACAGAUCUUUCAAUUCAAUCAUUUGGAUUUGCAUGAAAUUUUUUCACAAUCCAAUUACGUAUCUCCAUGUAGGUAUCAGGUGUCCUGGUUUGAGAGUUCAUAUUAAAGAAUGAAGGUAGUGCACGCUCCUCAAGGAGGUGAAUUUUCGUCCAUGAAAACCAACCGCAAUGAAUAGGCACCACAUGGGCGUUAGAAUCUUUGGAUCUAAUUCCCUCAAAAUCCGCUUCUAUUGCUGCCUGCAACUCCUCCAACUUAUUCACCUCCUCCUCCAGUGUUGCCACCGUCACAGCCCCCGACGUCG
rnacentral:misc_RNA from 1 species